GGAAGCGAACGAAGCUAGUGAAAGCAACGUCAUACUUUCCAACUUGCUUGCAAGCUGGACGCUGUGGCGCGCCCAGUUCGGCUACAUUGCGCCGCAUAUGUGAAAGCAGGCGACGAAAAGUUGUUUACCUAUUUUUGUCGCCUUUGGCACGUACCGCAAUGGAGCUGUACCAAAUAGGUUUGUUUGCCCCGUCUAGAAACACGGACCAAGGAGUCUAACAUAUGUGCGAGUACUGCGGUGACAAACCUCGGUGCGUAAUGAAAGUGUCAGAGGCUGGAAUGCAAUACGCAUUUGCACAGUCCGCCGGCCUCAAUCCCUCGGGAAAAUGGUCUGAGUGUGAGCAUACAUGUUGGGACCCGAAAGAUGGUGAACUAUGCUUGAGUAGGGUGAAGCCAGGGGAAACUUUGGUGAAGGCUCGCAGCGAUUCUGACGUGCAAAUCGAUCGUCAAACUUGAGUAUAGGGGCGAAAGACUAAUCGAACUAUCUAGUAGCUGGUUCCCUCCGAAAUUUCCCUUAGGAUAGCUGCAAUCUCUGUAUCAGCCAGUUUUGUCA
rnacentral:rRNA from 1 species